rnacentral:lncRNA from 1 species
UAAUUAAUUCCGAAAAAUAAUAAAUCUCUUAUUAUUUUUCCAACGUCAAAGCCCAUAAUAAAUCCCAAAAACCAUGUAGUUAUUUACUAAUGGGCUUUAAUAAUUAAUUAGGCCUAUUAGUAAAGAUGAAGGUUGCAAAUCAAUUAGUACCAUAUCGCUAGUUGACGUGGAGGUGGGGAGUUUUUCUCCCUAUAUAUAUAUGUACCAACCCCUUAGGCAAAGCACAUCAAAGACUAUCAUA